AGAGUUUGAUCCUGGCUCAGGAUGAACGCUAGCGGUGUGCCUAACACAUGCAAGUCGUGCGAUCGAGCCAGACUAAUCACCCUUCGGGGUGUGAAGACUGGUGACGGAGCGGCGGACUGGUGAGUAACACGUGGCUAACCUACCUUCUUGACGGGGAUAACUAUUCGAAAGAAUAGCUAAUACCCGAUAUUGCUGAAGAUCGAUGGAUCUUCAGCCAAAGGCGGCCUAGUCGUCAUAAGAGGAUGGGGCUGCGCCCUAUUAGCUUGUUGGUAAGGUAAUGGCUUACCAAGGCAAUGAUGGGUAGCUGGUCUGAGAGGAUGAUCAGCCACAUUGGGACUGAGAUACGGCCCAGACUCCUACGGGAGGCAGCAGUGGGGAAUAUUUCACAAUGGGCGAAAGCCUGAUGGAGCAACACCGCGUGGGGGAUGAAUGCCUUCGGGUUGUAAACCCCUUUUCUGGGGGAAGAAUAAGGUCGGGAGGGAAUGCCCGUCCGAUGACGGUACUCCAGGAAUAAGGAUCGGCUAACUUCGUGCCAGCAGCCGCGGUAAGACGAAGGAUCCGAGUGUUAUCCGGAAUUACUGGGCGUAAAGGGCGUCUAGGCGGCCAAGUAAGUCACCCGUGAAAGUCCGCGGCUCAACCGCGGAAUGCCGGGUGAAACUGCUUGACUUGGGUAUAGGAGAAGAGGGUGGAACUCACAGAGUAGCGGUGGAAUGCGUAGAUACUGUGAGGUACCCCGAUGGCGAAGGCAACCCUCUGGCCUGCUACCGACGCUGAAGCGCGAAAGCGUGGGGAGCAAGGGGGAUUAGAUACCCCCGUAGUCCACGCCGCAAACGAUGUUCACUUGGUGUCGGUCGCUGAUACAGAUCGGUGCCGGAGCUAACGUGUUAAGUGAACCGCCUGGGGAGUACGGCCGCAAGGCUAAAACUCAAGAGAAUUGACGGGGGCCCGCACAAGCGGUGGAGCACGUGGUUCAAUUCGAUGAUAAACGAAUAACCUCACCUGGGUUUGACAUGCUAGUGGUAGGAACCAGAAACGGGGACGACUUUCCCUUUCGAGGGAAGGAGCUAGC
rnacentral:rRNA from 1 species